rnacentral:rRNA from 20 species
GGCGACGACGGGUAGCCGGCCUGAGAGGGUGACCGGCCACACUGGGACUGAGACACGGCCCAGACUCCUACGGGAGGCAGCAGUGGGGAAUAUUGCACAAUGGGCGAAAGCCUGAUGCAGCGACGCCGCGUGAGGGAUGACGGCCUUCGGGUUGUAAACCUCUUUCAGUAGGGAAGAAGCGAAAGUGACGGUACCUGCAGAAGAAGCGCCGGCUAACUACGUGCCAGCAGCCGCGGUAAUACGUAGGGCGCAAGCGUUAUCCGGAAUUAUUGGGCGUAAAGAGCUCGUAGGCGGUUUGUCGCGUCUGCUGUGAAAGGCCAGGGCUCAACCCUGGUUCUGCAGUGGGUACGGGCAGACUUGAGUGAUGUAGGGGAGACUGGAAUUCCUGGUGUAGCGGUGA